GGUCAGCGACUUAUAUUCUGUAGCAAGGUUAACCGUAUAGGGGAGCCGAAGGGAAACCGAGUCUUAACCGGGCGUUAAGUUGCAGGGUAUAGACCCGAAACCCGGUGAUCUAGCCAUGGGCAGGUUGAAGGUUGGGUAACACUAACUGGAGGACCGAACCGACUAAUGUUGAAAAAUUAGCGGAUGACCUGUGGCUGGGGGUGAAAGGCCAAUCAAACCGGGAGAUAGCUGGUUCUCCCCGAAAGCUAUUUAGGUAGCGCCUCGUGAAUUCAUCUCCGGGGGUAGAGCACUGUUUCGGCUAGGGGGCCAUCCCGGCUUACCAACCCGAUGCAAACUGCGAAUACCGGAGAAUGUUAUCACGGGAGACACACGGCGGGUGCUAACGUCCGUCGUGAAGAGGGAAACAACCCAGACCGCCAGCUAAGGUCCCAAAGUCAUGGUUAAGUGGGAAACGAUGUGGGAAGGCCCAGACAGCCAGGAUGUUGGCUUAGAAGCAGCCAUCAUUUAAAGAAAGCGUAAUAGCUCACUGGUCGAGUCGGCCUGCGCGGAAGAUGUAACGGGGCUAAACCAUGCACCGAAGCUGCGGCAGCGACGCUGAUGCGUUGUUGGGUAGGGGAGCGUUCUGUAAGCCUGCGAAGGUGGCCUGUGAGGGUUGCUGGAGGUAUCAGAAGUGCGAAUGCUGACAUAAGUAACGAUAAAGCGGGUGAAAAGCCCGCUCGCCGGAAGACCAAGGGUUCCUGUCCAACGUUAAUCGGGGCAGGGUGAGUCGACCCCUAAGGCGAGGCCGAAAGGCGUAGUCGAUGGGAAACGGGUUAAUAUUCCCGUACUUGGUGUUACUGCGAAGGGGGGACGGAGAAGGCUAUGUUGGCCGGGCGACGGUUGUCCCGGUUUAAGCGUGUAGGUGUGUGUUCCAGGUAAAUCCGGUUCACUUUAACACUGAGGCGUGACGACGAGGCACUACGGUGCUGAAGCAACAAAUGCCCUGCUUCCAGGAAAAGCCUCUAAGCAUCAGGUAACAUCAAAUCGUACCCCAAACCGACACAGGUGGUCAGGUAGAGAAUACCAAGGCGCUUGAGAGAACUCGGGUGAAGGAACUAGGCAAAAUGGUGCCGUAACUUCGGGAGAAGGCACGCUGACACGUAGGUGAAGUGAUUUACUCAUGGAGCUGAAGUCAGUCGAAGAUACCAGCUGGCUGCAACUGUUUAUUAAAAACACAGCACUGUGCAAACACGAAAGUGGACGUAUACGGUGUGACGCCUGCCCGGUGCCGGAAGGUUAAUUGAUGGGGUCAGCGCAAGCGAAGCUCCUGAUCGAAGCCCCGGUAAACGGCGGCCGUAACUAUAACGGUCCUAAGGUAGCGAAAUUCCUUGUCGGGUAAGUUCCGACCUGCACGAAUGGCGUAAUGAUGGCCAGGCUGUCUCCACCCGAGACUCAGUGAAAUUGAACUCGCUGUGAAGAUGCAGUGUACCCGCGGCAAGACGGAAAGACCCCGUGAACCUUUACUAUAGCUUGACACUGAACAUUGAGCCUUGAUGUGUAG
rnacentral:rRNA from 1 species